rnacentral:miRNA from 1 species
CAGGAUGCCUGAUUAAACUUAAAACUACAGAUAAACAGUGAAUAACGUUUUAGUGUUAAGUGUGUCCUGUACAAUAUUUGGCACAUACUUAUGCCAAAACAUUAUUCAUCAUUUAUCUGCAUUUCAAAUUCAACCGGAUGUCCUCU